rnacentral:piRNA from 1 species
UAAUAAUGGUCCAUCUUGCCACAAUACAGC